AUAAUGUAAUACUCACAGCCGAGUAAUUUAUAUUUUAAAAAAAGAGGUUUAAUUGGCUCAUGGUUCUGUAGGCUGUAUAUAAAGCAUAGUGCCAGCAUUUGCUUAUAUCAAGGGCCUCUGGAAGCUUACAAUCAUGGUGGAAGGCAAA